GUGCCAGCCGCCGCGGUAAUACCGGCAGCCCGAGUGAUGGCCGAUAUUAUUGGGCCUAAAGCGUCCGUAGCUGGCCGACCAAGUCUCCCGGGAAAUCCACCCGCCCAACGGGUGGGCGUCCGGUAGAAACUGGCCGGCUUGGAACCGGAAGGCUCAGAGAGUACGUCCGGGGUAGGAGUGAAAUCCCGUAAUCCCGGACGGACUACCGAUGGCGAAAGCACUCUGAGAAGACGGCUUCGACAGUGAGGGACGAAAGCGCGGGGAGCAAACAGGAUUAGAUACCCUUGUAGUCC
rnacentral:rRNA from 1 species